UGGCGUGGUGUGCUACGGGGAUAAGCUCAGUGUACUCCUCCUCUCAGCUAAGCCGGCAGAGGAGGGGCAGGGUGUGUGCCUGUGUGGGAGAGGGGCUUAGGCAAGGAGCCUUGCCCUGCCGACUGUCCUCGCCUCACCUUU